rfam:Candidatus Nanosalinarum sp. J07AB56 genomic scaffold scf_7180000039097, whole genome shotgun sequence.
UUUUUACUGCCUUUUUCAAGCCGGGCAGUGGAUGGCUCGGUUCGAGAAGCCGACGAAGGACGUGGCAAGCUGCGAUAAGCUUGGGCGAGGUGCAUGCAGCCCUUGAGCCCAAGAUCUCCGAAUGGGACUUCCCAGCCAGCUUCGGCUGGCUACACGCAUUCUGCGUGGGGCACACGCGGUGAACUGAAACAUCUAAGUAACCGCAGGAAGAGAAAGCAACUGCGAUUUCCUCAGUAGCGGCGAGCGAACGGGAAACCUUCAAGCGCAAACUGAAUCCCGAGUUCGAGAGAACUGGGAGAUGUGGUUCGGCUCUCCGUUGUGUCCAACAUCCGUAGUCCAACUCUCGCUGGAACGCGGGACCACAGAGGGUGAAAGUCCCGUGGACGACAGGAUGAACGACACUGGAGAUGCCAAGAGUAGCGUGGGUUGGAAAUCCUGCGUGAAUACACGAGGCACUGUCUCGUAACGCUGAAUACUUCUCGAAUCCGAUAGCGCACUAAGUACCGUGAGGGAAAGCUGAAAAGUACUGUUCGAAGCAGACUGACAAGAUCCUCAAACUGUCCGGUCACAGGUUAGGCGGAGCACGAAAGCAUCGAAGCGUGUAACGAACCUGGCGAGAGCCACAAGUAGGAAAGCGUGGAGCGGUGUUCCGUCAUCCGUAUUGAAAAACGGGGCAGAGAGUGUGCUCGCCGUGGCGAGACUAACCAGUUCUGCUGGGGAGUCGCAGCGAAAGCAAGAAGCCCGCAGCGCUUUUGCGUGAGGGGCCGCGUCGUAACAGGCGUGGAGUCACCGCGGCACGAUCCGAAACCGGUCGAUCCUGGCCUGGUCAGGGUGAAGCGAGGCGAAAGCCUCGUGGAGGCCCGCAAGCGUUGCUGUGAUACAAGCGCUCGCGUGAACUGGGUCAAGGGGUGAAAUGUCAAUCGAGAUCGGUGAUGGCUGGUUCUUCUCGAAAUGGAUCGAAGUCCAGCUUCGAGCGAUGCUGCCUGUAGAGGUAAAGCCACUGAUUGGGCUGUCCUAGGCCUUCGGGCCUAGGAACCCAGUCAAACUCUGAACUCUGCAGGGGCGCAGACCUCGGAAGUCAGGGACGGUGCGUAAGGUACCGUUCCGAGAGGGAAACAACCCAGAGCAAGGUUAAGGCCCCCAAUUCCUAGCUAAGUGUCAUGAAAGGGCGUCCCGGUUCUCAGACAGUGGGGAGGUUAGCUUAGAAGCAGCUACCCUUUAAAGAAAGCGUAACAGCUCACCCAUUGAGAACUGGGGCACCGAAAAUGGACGGGGCUCAAGCUAGGAGCCGAGACCUUGCCAUCGUUUCUACGAUGGGUAGGGAAGCGCUCCGCGCGGACGGAAGCAUGGCCGUGAGGUCGUGUGGACCGCCCGGAGACGAAGAUUCUGCCGGUAGUACCAACGUCAUUGGAAGUGAGAAUCUUCCUCGCCGAAAGGGGAAGGGUUCCUCGGCAACGAUCGUCGACCGAGGGUUAGCCGGACCUAAUCCAGCUCCUAAUUGGACGCUGGAGAACAGGGAAGCAGGUUAAUAUUCCUGCGCCAACUCACAGCACAUACACUUUGGGACAACGGUUGCUGCGUCUUCGCGCAGUCCAAGCGGUUGAUACGUGGCGAGCAUAAUGCUUCGACCCCGUGAAUCCGUUAUGGGUCUGGGAGUUAUCCCGGAUUUCCGUGCGUCCUGGAGGCUUUGAAAGGCUGUGAGAGACCGUACCGAGAACCAGCACAGGUCCCCAGGCUGAGAAGGCCAAGGCGUAUCGGGUGUCAACGCGGCUCAGGGAAUUCGGCAAGUUAGCCCCGUACGUUCGCAAUAUGGGGUGCCUAUCGUCUUGCUACGAUAGGUCGCAGUGUCUAGGCGGGCUCGACUGUUUACUAAAAACACAUCCGACUGCUAGUCCGAAAGGAUUUGUACAGUCGGAGACCCUUGCCCAGUGCCAGCACCUGAACACUCCGUUCAAGGAGACGAAGGGCUGGUAAACGGCGGCGCUAACUAUGAGCGUCUUAAGGUAUCUCGCUACGAUGCCUUUCCCUGGCUAUAUGCUGGAACAUCUGAAGACCUCUACUAGGUCAAGUGGCUGAACGGCCGCAAGAAUCCCACGCUACCACGGAAAUCUUCUUUACGGGAGAUUUCUCAAGGUAACAAUGCAGUGGGUGCAGACAACCAGCAGGAAACCUUGGAUUCAAGUUGGGUGGUUGGCUUCACAGAUGCCGAGGGCUGUUUCUACGUAGGUAUCAACAAGAUGCCGAAAAUGAGCCUCGGCUGGCAGGUCUUACCGGAGUUCCGAAUCGUUCAACAUGAACGAGACGAGGAACUUCUGAAACAGAUUCGUGACUUCUUCGGUUUCGGAGAUGUCAGAAAAAACCACGGAAAUCGAAAGGACUUCCGUGUUAGAGGACUCGACAAUCUUGAACAGGUCGUUGAGUUCUUCGAAGAUCACCAGCUUAGGACGAAGAAACAGCACGACUUCGAGAUGUUCUCGCAAGUCAUCGAUAUGAUGAGACACGGAAAACAUCUUGAAAGAAACGGCCUCGAUCAGAUUGCCGAAAUUGUUUCAGGCAUGAACGAGCAGACCACUCCGACAUACCUCAAGGAUUCCUCAGAGACUGUACGCCAGGCGACCUCAGACCGAGGUUGAAGAUACAGUCCGACCUUCACAGCGAUGUGAAGAUGUUGCCUCGCAGCAGCACGCAUCGGGCUCAGUUAUGCUCGAUGUCAGCAACCUCGAUUUCAGGUGAAGUAACAGCAGUGAGCGUAGUCCCUUGCCAACUAAUUGUUGGCCCGAUUUAGUAGGGCAACGAGGUCCGCACUGUCCCGAGCCGUGGCCCGGUGAACCCACUAUACCGGCGCACAAGCCGGUGACUUCCAGUGGGAAGCGAAGACCCUGUGGAGCUUUGCUGCAGUCUAUCGUAGUUGUGGGGGUCCAGACAUGAAGCGUAGGUAGAAGACGUUACAGAGUCGCGUGCGCCAGCACGUCGACCAGUCAACCAUGGGACACUACCUGUCUGGAACCCUGCGACUCACCUCCAUCGUGGGGAACAGCGAUAGCUGGGCAGCUUAGCUGGGGCGGCAUCCCUCUGAUAGAGAAUCAGAGGGGUCCAAAGGUAGGCUCAACCCGGUCAGAAAUCGGGUGUAGAGGACAAGGCCAAAAGCCUGCCUGACUGGAACCUGAACGUUACGGGUUCUAGGCGCGGAAGCGUGGCCUAGCGAACCCCUAUGUGCCAAGCACUUGUGAGGCCUAGGUAUGACAGAAAAGUUACCCCAGGGAUAACUGGAUUGUCUGCGGCGCGAGUUCAUAUCGACCCGCAGGUUUGUUACUUCGAUGUCGGCUCUCCGUAUCCUGGCUGUGCAACAGCAGCCAAGGGUGGGGGUGUUCACCCAUUAAAACGGAUCGUGAGCUGGGUUUAGAUCGGCGUGAGCCAGAUCGGUUGCUAUCUGCUGGAAGUGUCAUUACGUGGUCUGAGAGGAAAGCUCGGACAGUACGAAAGGAACCCUGAGCUGAGGCCUCUGGUCUACCGGUCGUCCGAAAGGGCGGAGCCGGGUAGCUACGCCUCACGGAUGUAAGGGCUGAAAGCAUCUAAGCCCGAAAGUCUCCUCAAAAACAGACCGCGUCCGCACCUGUAGAACACAGGUUCGAUAGAGAGGCGGUGUAAGAACCAAGGCAACGAGGUUCUCAGCCGACCUCCACUAACAGCGGUUUGGCGGUACAAA